UACGGGGGGAGCAAGCGUUGUUCGGAUUUACUGGGCGUAAAGGGCGCGUAGGCGGUCGUGACAAGUCACUUGUGAAAUCUCCGGGCUUAACUCGGAACGGUCAAGUGAUACUGUCGGACUAGAGUACAGAAGGGGCAACUGGAAUUCUCGGUGUAGCGGUGAAAUGCGUAGAUAUCGAGAGGAACACCUGCGGCGAAGGCGGGUUGCUGGGCUGAUACUGACGCUGGAGGCGCGAAAGCUAGGGUAGCAAACGGG
rnacentral:rRNA from 1 species